CUCACCGGCGCUGAUGAGAAAGGCCACGGUGCCCAGGACCACCUGAGAAGGGGGGCUUUCCCUCUCCACACUGUUCGUACCUCUCAGAAGAGCUCUGCCAAGUGGGAAGUAGGUCACAAGAACAAGAGAAGUUUUCUUGCAGAGAACAUGAGCCUCAGCAGGCCAGUGGGCCAGGACUUGGUGUCUCUCCAGACUAAAUGCCGAAAGUAACUGCCCAGGCCACAAGUUGAAAGGGCCAGUGACCACAGGACAGUGUGCUUGAGAUGGUGGAGGCGAAGAAAAUAAAGUGAAACAUUAUGAUCUAAACCUGUCUUUCUUAACUUCUUUGGAUGUUAAGGCCCCUUUGCAAAAUCUAAGGCCAAGCUCUGCCUCUUGACCUGUGAAAAAUGCACAUCUGUGCAUUCCCACACUUUGACCUAACAUUUCCAAGAAGUUCACAGACUCCUCAAAGCCCAGAAGGCCCUGCAGAAUGUUUCAGGAGUCUCCUGGAAUUCAGCGCCCCAUCAGUUUGAUUUUGACUUGACGGUCGGUGAGGUUGAGCAUGCGAGACAGCUGCAGACGCUUCUCUUUGUUGAUGUACACGCUGAAGAAGAACUCCCGCUCCAGCUCCCGGAUCUGGUACUUGGUGUAGGGGCAGCGCUUUUUCCGGGUUUGCUCUCGGAGCCACCUCUGCCUCCGACCCCGGCCGGACCCUCUUCGGGGCCAGGGUUCGCCACCGAGGAUGUGCCUGCCUCGAGGCUUGCCCGAUUUGCACGGUGACUUGAUUACACGCUCGCAUUCAUGGUCACUUCCGAACCGCUUUAGUGCCUUCCGUCCCUAAACCGCCAACAACCAGGCGGCCUCCCCCGCGGUUUGUCAGGGAUCCGCAGGUCCCGGAGGGCCUUCGUCCUACCCGGGAUCCACCUCCCCUUCGCCCUCCUGGCCGGCCUCCUCUCCCCACUCUCUCCUCCCCGCUGCCCGCGGGGGGUCGGAGUCACUCCGCAGAGCCAGAGGCGCGGUGGCUGGGCAGGGGCGCACUGGUCCGCCCGCCCGCCUUGUCUUCGGAAGCUGAGGACUCUCGAAACCUUGCGGUAGAGGCGAGCCUGGGCAGCUUUAGAGGCGGUGACAUUCGAGGAGUCUUUUCCUGGGAGGCCCAACAGCGGAGCUGAGCCCACCCUGCUCAGGGCUCAGAGGAAGACCCGACGGGGACUAAGGCCGCCCUGGAAGUCCAAGUCCGAGUUGCAUUUCUUGAAAUGGCUGAGCCGGGCAAGACUAUGACAUUGGCCCUGGAGACUGGCUUCUCACGAGCCGUUCUUUCUCAAGAUUUCCACAGCGUGGGGCCAUCUCUAGAGAACAAUAUUCAGCAUGUAUUUCCUUCUCUCGUCAACCCGGAGUCCCACGGCAGCGAAUGCAAGAGGCCAAAAAUGUUUUGGAGGAAGAAAAACAAAGGCAGGAAGUGGCGGCGGACUGACGGUCUAGGCAGCCCUCGCGGGGCCGGCCCCAGCGCUCCCCGCACAGCCUUUGGAGAUGGCCACCCGGAGCGGAGAAGGCUGGCGCCCGCCCGCGCCAACCUCUUCAGGCGGAAAUGGCUAACGAGGAGAUUUGCUCAGCAAAGCAGACCUCGCCUUUCCAAGGCUUCGUUUGAUUAGGCCCUAAUGUUCGGGGGUGCGUGGGGGGGUGGGUAGGGGAGUUCUGCAGCACCUCUAGACCCUUCUCCAGUGGGCUGAGUGCGCCCGGGCAGGGACAGGCUGGUUCGUGCGCCCCCGCGCCCCCAGCGCCUUCCUAGGCAGGCUAUCGGAAUAAAGUGUGCCCAGGUGCUUCUGCCCAGCA